rfam:Camelus ferus unplaced genomic scaffold scaffold764, whole genome shotgun sequence.
GGAGGGUGCAGCUCAGUGGUAGAGCACGUGAUUAGCAUGCACGAGGCCAUGGGUUCGAUCCCCAGUCCCUCCA